rnacentral:rRNA from 1 species
CAAACUGGGAUUAGAUACCCCACUAUGCCUAGCCUUAAACACUGAUCAAGCUACAUUAUUACAUCCGCCCGGGAACUACGAGCCGCAGCUUAAAACCCAAAGGACUUGGCGGUGCCCCAAACCCACCUAGAGGAGCCUGUUCUAUAAUCGAUACCCCCCGCUUAACCUCACCCCUCCUCGCCAGCAGCCUAUAUACCACCGUCGCCAGCCCACCUCAUGAGAGAAAGCAAGUAGGCACAAUGGUAGCCACCAAAACGUCAGGUCAAGGUGUAGCUCAUGGAGCGGAAAGAAAUGGGCUACACUUUCUACACAGAAGAUACGAAAGACCACUAUGAAACCUGGUCUGAAGGCGGAUUUAGUAGUAAAAAGAUUCAAGAGUGUUCUUUUUAAUCCGGCCCUGGGGCGCGCACACACCGCCCGUCACCCUCCUCAACUAACUAACCCAAAUAAUUAAAAUUAAACCAGUUAACAAGAAGAGGCAAGUCGUAACAUGGUAAGUAUACCGGAAGGUGUGCUUGGAACA